GGACAAAGUUAACAUGUUUAGGGUAGU
rnacentral:piRNA from 1 species